rnacentral:snoRNA from 1 species
CCUCCUUUUCUUGGCGGGGACUGAGUGUGUGUGUGGUCCCACUUCCCUUUAUGUAAGGAGCCAGAAGGAAAGGGCUCUGUCCUUCUCGGUGUCGUAUCUUCGGUGCCAGAGGCUUCCCGUUCUCCGGUUCUAUCCUGAAACGCGGAGACACCG